rnacentral:lncRNA from 1 species
GAGCUGAAGUUCGCCAGUUGCAUAAAUAAAAAUUUCAGCUCUAGAGCUGAAGUUCACCAGUUACUAAAACAAAAAUGUCAGCUCUAGAGCUAAAGUUCGCCAGUUACAAAACAAAAACUUCAGUUCUAGAGCUACGAAUGCUGAAGUUUUGCAUGAUUGCCUUAGUUACUUCAGCCCCGUAUGCUGAAGUUAUGUGAAAAAGCAGGUACGCUUGCAAUUUUUUUUGCAAAGCGGUCACAAGUUAAAACGUGAUACAAAAAGCAUCUAUAGAUGCAAAUGCCCCUACUAAUUGAAGGACGUUUUCUAGCCGUGUGUAUAGAUUAUACAUUAACUAUAUAUAUA